rnacentral:rRNA from 1 species
UACAGAGGGUGCGAGCGUUAAUCGGAAUGACUGGGCGUAAAGGGUACGUAGGCGGACUGAUGAGUUAGCUGUGAAAUACCUAGGCUUAACCUGGGGACUGUCAGCUAAUACCGUUGGACUAGAGUACAGUAGAGGUAAGUGGAAUUUCCGGUGUAGCGGUGAAAUGCGUAGAUAUCGGAAGGAACACCAGUGGCGAAGGCGGCUUACUGGACUGAGACUGACGCUGAGGUACGAAAGCGUAGGUA